rnacentral:rRNA from 1 species
GACGUAGGGUCCAAGCGUUUGUCCGGAUUUACUGGGCGUAAAGAGCGCGUAGGCGGUCUGUUAAGUGUAGAGUGAAAUCUCCAGGGCUCAACCCGGAAACUGCUCUGCAUACUGGCAGACUUGAGGGAUGCAGAGGUUUGUGGAAUUCCUGGUGUAACGGUGAAAUGUGUUGAUAUCAGGAGGAACACCCAUGGCGAAGGCAGCAAACUGGGCAUCAUCUGACGCUGAGGCGCGAAAGCGUGGGUAGCAAACAGG